rnacentral:rRNA from 1 species
ACACAUGCAGUCGAACGGUAACAUUUCUAGCUUGCUAGAAGAUGACGAGUGGCGGACGGGUGAGUAAUGCUUGGGAACUUGCCUUUGCGAGGGGGAUAACAGUUGGAAACGACUGCUAAUACCGCAUAAUGUCUACGGACCAAACGGGGCUUAGGCUCCGGCGCAAAGAGAGGCCCAAGUGAGAUUAGCUAGUUGGUAAGGUAAUGGCUUACCAAGGCAACGAUCUCUAGCUGUUCUGAGAGGAAGAUCAGCCACACUGGAACUGAGACACGGUCCAGACUCCUACGGGAGGCAGCAGUGGGGAAUAUUGCACAAUGGGGGAAACCCUGAUGCAGCCAUGCCGCGUGUGUGAAGAAGGCCUUCGGGUUGUAAAGCACUUUCAGUUGUGAGGAAAAGUUAGUAGUUAAUACCUGCUAGCCGUGACGUUAACAACAGAAGAAGCACCGGCUAACUCCGUGCCAGCAGCCGCGGUAAUACGGAGGGUGCGAGCGUUAAUCGGAAUUACUGGGCGUAAAGCGCACGCAGGCGGUUUGUUAAGCUAGAUGUGAAAGCCCCGGGCUCAACCUGGGAUAGUCAUUUAGAACUGGCAGACUAGAGUCUUGGAGAGGGGAGUGGAAUUCCAGGUGUAGCGGUGAAAUGCGUAGAUAUCUGGAGGAACAUCAGUGGCGAAGGCGACUCCCUGGCCAAAGACUGACGCUCAUGUGCGAAAGUGUGGGUAGCGAACAGGAUUAGAUACCCUGGUAGUCCACACCGUAAACGCUGUCUACUAGCUGUUUGUGACUUUAAGUCGUGAGUAGCGAAGCUAACGCGCUAAGUAGACCGCCUGGGGAGUACGGCCGCAAGGUUAAAACUCAAAUGAAUUGACGGGGGCCCGCACAAGCGGUGGAGCAUGUGGUUUAAUUCGAUGCAACGCGAAGAACCUUACCUACACUUGACAUGCUGAGAACUUUCUAGAGAUAGAUUGGUGCCUUCGGGAACUCAGACACAGGUGCUGCAUGGCUGUCGUCAGCUCGUGUCGUGAGAUGUUGGGUUAAGUCCCGCAACGAGCGCAACCCUUGUCCUUAGU